rnacentral:tRNA from 1 species
GAGGGUGUAGCUCAGUGGUAGAGCACGUGCUUAGCAUGCACGAGGUCCUGGGCUCAAUCCCCAGUGCCUCUG